rnacentral:rRNA from 1 species
GAUGAACGCUAGCGGCAGGGCUUAACACAUGCAAGUCGAGGGGUAGAACACUUCGGGUGUUUGAGACCGGCGCACGGGUGCGUAACGCGUAUGCAAUCUACCUUGUACAGGGGAAUAGCCCAGAGAAAUUUGGAUUAAUGCCCCAUAGCAUAUUUGAAUGGCAUCAUUUAAAUAUUAAAGUUCAGGCGGUACAAGAUGAGCAUGCGUCCCAUUAGUUAGUUGGUAAGGUAACGGCUUACCAAGACAAUGAUGGGUAGGGGUCCUGAGAGGGAGAUCCCCCACACUGGUACUGAGACACGGACCAGACUCCUACGGGAGGCAGCAGUGAGGAAUAUUGGUCAAUGGGCGCAAGCCUGAACCAGCCAUGCCGCGUGCAGGAAGACGGUCCUAUGGAUUGUAAACUGCUUUUAUACAGGAAGAAACAACUCUACGUGUAGAGUCUUGACGGUACUGUAGGAAUAAGGAUCGGCUAACUCCGUG